UGAGGAAUAUUGGUCAAUGGCCGAGAGGCUGAACCAGCCAAGUCGCGUGAGGGAUGAAGGUUCUAUGGAUCGUAAACCUCUUUUAUAAGGGAAUAAAGUGACCCACGUGUGGGUUUUUGUAUGUACCUUAUGAAUAAGGAUCGGCUAACUCCGUGCCAGCAGCCGCGGUAAUACGGAGGAUCCGAGCGUUAUCCGGAUUUAUUGGGUUUAAAGGGUGCGUAGGCGGCCCCUUAAGUCAGCGGUGAAAGUCUGUGGCUCAACCAUAGAAUUGCCGUUGAAACUGGGGGGCUUGAGUAUGUUUGAGGCAGGCGGAAUGCGUGGUGUAGCGGUGAAAUGCUUAGAUAUCACGCAGAACCCCGAUUGCGAAGGCAGCCUGCCAAGCCAUGACUGACGCUGAUGCACGAAAGCGUGGGGAUCAAACAGG
rnacentral:rRNA from 1 species